UACGGAGGGUGCAAGCGUUGCUCGGAAUUAUUGGGCGUAAAGGGUAGGUAGGUGGUCUCAUUUGUCUGGGGUGAAAUCCUUGAGCUUAACUCAAGAAGUGCCCCAGAAACGGUGAGACUAGAGUUCUGGAGAGGGUCGUGGAAUUCCCGGUGUAGCGGUGAAAUGCGUAGAGAUCGGGAGGAACACCAGAGGCGAAGGCGGCGACCUGGACAGAUACUGACACUCAACUACGAAAGCGUGGGGAGCAAACAGG
rnacentral:rRNA from 1 species